CGGGGUGUAGCGUAGCCCGGUAUCGCGCCUGCUUUGGGAGCAGGAGGCCGUCGGUUCAAAUCCGGCCACCCCGA
rnacentral:tRNA from 1 species